CACGUAGGGUCCGAGCGUUGUCCGGAAUCACUGGGCGUAAAGGGCGCGUAGGUGGUUUGAUAAGGGUGUGGUGAAAGUCCGGGGCUCAACCCCGGAUCUGCCGUGCCGACUGUCAAACUCGAGGACUGUAGAGGCAGACGGAAUUCCGGGUGUAGCGGUGGAAUGCGUAGAGAUCCGGAGGAAGACCGGUGGCGAAGGCGGUCUGCUGGGCAGUUUCUGACACUGAGGCGCGACAGCGUGAGGAGCAAACAGG
rnacentral:rRNA from 1 species